rnacentral:sRNA from 2 species
GCACCGUCAUCACCACCUGUAUGAACGGAGCCCUAGGCGAAAAUGUGCUUGAAAGUGAAAGCAGUUGUGUCGACAGUGCGUUUUGAAUGCUCAGACGGACGGGAUCGUUUUUUCCAUUGCAUCUAAGUUGACCUUAGCGGUGGUUGGACGGACAGGUUGUCCUCUGCGAAGCGGUUGAUACAUAUCGCUGCAUAUACUGUAGGUGAUACAUUGUUGGACGGGUUUUUAGGGCUGGCUGAAUACUGGCAGGAAAACAUUUCAAGAAGACUAUCUAAGCUGAACAGUGCAAGGGGGCAAUAAUAUCGAGCUCGUAUUUUCUAAAUAUCUGCUGUGGAUUUGCAUGGAUAUACAUAUAUGCAUGCAUUAAUGACUGUAAUAGAUAUACAGGAAUACCCAGGCCUUAUAUGGGUCGAAGAAUCAUCGUGAUGGUCACAGUUGCGCCCAAAAUUGAAAGUCUGAUAUCGGCUCGAAAAUAUAUAUCUUGGCUCGAGAGCUGUAAAAUAUAAAUGCAUAUAGAGGAGCAAGGAGCAAGCCUCACAAUAACGUUAUUUGGUGUUGUAUUACCUAUAGACACUGCAUUUCUGACAUCCAGCAACCCUCCUGCACCCACUUGAAGAAGUAGCCUAACAUCAAGAUGAUUGAAAAAUGUAAAACACACCCCCUCAGCUCCAUAUACAUACCAUGACAGCUCGGUGUGAAAUGAUUGAAGAACGCCCCAAAGGGAGGACCGCUGUAUCAGGCUAGAAGGAGGCAGCGAUAGAAUAUAAUAUGGCAAAUGAGAAAACAUUGCACUAAGAAUCAGCCUUCUUUCCCGAGUUUCCCUAACGCCUCUGUCAAGAACUCCGUCGCAUUGACUAGAUCCGUGCUCCCAUAUACAAUUCGUCGUGACGUGGCGCCAGAUGGCCCUGAUCCUCCACCACUGCCGGAUCCGCCAACUGUGUUCGAAGAACCACUCAGCGGGCCUGCACCUGCUAAGGUUCCCCUCCCUGUUCGAUGUGCCCAAUCUUGAAGAUUGCCAUAUUCAUCCAUACUCCCACCUCCCACCGUGAAGACGAUCGCCUCGCUGAAUCCCUGUCGCCGUUGGCCGAAACUCGCGCCAGUGCCGGGUGCGGGACCACUUUGUUGAUUACGAGUCGAGGCCGCGGGGGGUACGGCGCCUCGUGCAUUCGCGCUGCGUGGAUCGAAAUAAAGGUAGUUCUCAGUCUUUGCGAUCGCGGAACUUGAUGCGCCCGCUGGAUCCAUGAUUGAUUCCGUGAUUUUGGUAAGAGUCAGAUCUUUGUUUACAGGGAGGAAGUUCUUUACGCCGGAUAUUAAGGAGUCGAAAUUCGCGCCAAGCGCGCCGGAGGUAAUGCGGUCUGUAAGGCGGUUCGAGAGCGAGGAGAAUCCACGGAAGAGGUCAGAGGAAGGUUGUUGGGUAGCAGCAGUGGCCGCGGUUGUCAUCAUCGUCAUCCGAGUAAUUUCUCGGACUCUUUUCACGAACGCUACUGCGUCAAUGUCUGUGCAUCCGGCUUGCAUGAGCGCCUCUUCAAAGCGGUUCAACUCUGCUCUUGAGAGGUCUGUUUCUGUGCUUAGGAACCAAAUUAAAAAGAACCUUAGUUUGUCGGAUGGAUCGGUGCCUCCGUUAGCAUUGCAUAAUAUUUCGAGGAUUUGUGAUUUAUUCUGCUUCAUAAUGUUUUCUUCAAGCUGGAAGUAAUUAUCUAGUUGACGAUCCUUAAUUCCCUUCAGAAGAGCAGUAGCGAUGUUCAUGUGCAUGUCGAGCAGUGCCUUGCGUUCCCGCAACUCUGGAAGAAGUGUGAUGGCAGUUUUGAGGUGUUGAGCGGAUGCGCCCAUAUCAUUUUGAAGAUCUUCGAUGGAAGAAGCGCCUGUCUUCCUCGUGAUCUCAGCCGCGUCUUCCUUGUACCGCGUCAAUUCAGCGUCAAUGUCUUCGGCCACCUGUGGAAAUGGGACGCUUGCGUUGCGGUUCCAAAAGAAAUCAUUCACACUCAAAUCAUAUGAACGUUUCGUGGUGCCCUUCGCUGGGUUUGAGUCGUCGACUGGUACGUCCACGGUGAUACGGUUAAGAUGCAUUUUCAAGACAUCAUGAACCAGUGAUUGGUAAGACCAAGAAUGGGAAAGCAUAGGAACAAGGUCCACAUUACGGUCAACGAUAAUGAGAACUGGGCGGACUGAUGGGACGCUAACACCCUGUCGUUGGGAUGCACUGGAGAACAAAUUAUCCUUUGAAUUUAAUAUGUGAUCCCUCAGUUUACGAUCGAGUUUAGUCGCAA